rnacentral:rRNA from 1 species
AAUUGACGUUACCCGCAGAAGAAGCACCGGCUAACUCCGUGCCAGCAGCCGCGGUAAUACGGAGGGUGCAAGCGUUAAUCGGAAUUACUGGGCGUAAAGCGCACGCAGGCGGUCUGUCAAGUCGGAUGUGAAAUCCCCGGGCUCAACCUGGGAACUGCAUUCGAAACUGGCAGGCUAGAGUAUGGUAGAGGGGGGUAGAAUUCCAGGUGUAGCGGUGAAAUGCGUAGAGAUCUGGAGGAAUACCGGUGGCGAAGGCGGCCCUCUGGCCAUAAGACUGACGCUCAGUCGAU